rnacentral:ncRNA from 1 species
AUCUGAAAGAAGCUGGCGGCAAACAUCUGGUCUGACGAACAGAAACUUCAUAUCAAGGCAUAAGACUGUGGAUGAGACUGCAAAACAAGUCAAAGUCCGAUAGCUAUCCGGAACAGUCAAUGUAAAUGAAGCAGACAUAAGAUGGAAAGCUGG